UCUGCCCCUAGAAGCAGUGCAGGUGCGGGCAUAUCUGCUGUUCACAUGUGCAUCAAAAGCUGGCAGACAGGAGAGUUCUGAUGCACGAACAUC
ensembl:snoRNA Gm25965 predicted gene, 25965